GUCUCCUUGGGGACAUUUGAUAAAAUUGGAAUGAUAUAGAGAAGUUUAAUAUGGCCCCUGUGUAAGGAUGACACACACACACAAAUUUGGAAAGAAAGAAAAAUAUAUUU
rnacentral:snRNA from 3 species